rnacentral:rRNA from 1 species
GAUGAACGCUGGCGGCGUGCCUAAUACAUGCAAGUCGAGCGAACAGACGAUGAUCUUGCUCCUCUCACGUUUGCGGCGGACGGGUGUGUCACAUGUGUAUAACCUACCUAUAAUACUGGGAUAACUUCGGGAAACCGGAUCUAAUACCGGAUAAUAUAUUGAACCGCAUGGUUCAAUAGUGAAAUACGGUUUUGCUGUCACUUAUAGAUGGAUCCGCGCCGCAUUAGCUAGUUGGUAAGGUAACGGCUUACCAAGGCAACGAGGCGUAGCCGAACGGAGAGACUGAUCGCCCACCCUGGAAGUGAGACAGCGACAAGGCUACUACGGGAGGGAGCAGACGGGAAUGUUAGGCAGUGGGGGAAAGCUUGACAGAACGAGGCGGCGUGAGUGAUGAAAGUGUCCGGAUCGUAAAGCUCGGUUAUUAGGGAAGAACAACUGUGGCCGUAGAUAUGCAGGGCUUGACGGUAACGAGUAAAAAAGCAACGGCUAACUACGUG